AUGAGGGCUGUUCAAGUACUGUUGCAUUCUGCAAGCACCACUAGCUUGCCUGGACACCAGAAGCUUCUCAGAAUUACAAUGAAUCUAAAUCGUGGAUAUUCAGUCAUUGUUCAUCCCAUAAACUGCCUGAUCAAUAUUUGAAGUGGAGAAAUCGAUGCUGACCGCUUUUGAGCAACACCUACUGGGACACACUGUGAAAUUAACUGCUGGGCUCUGGAACUUCACAUCUUAAAAUGUCAGAUCACGAGGACCUGAAUAAAGCCAUGGGACACUGGAACGCCUCUGAGAGCUAUCAGCUCAACCCAGCCAGUGUCAUUGUGUCUGUGGUCUUCUCGCUCAUCUUCCUCCUGGGGACCAUUGGGAAUAGUCUGGUACUGGCUGUGCUCCUCAGAAGUGGGCAGGUUGGGUACAACACCACCAAUCUGUUCAUCCUCAACCUCAGCGUAGCAGAUUUCUUCUUCAUCAUCUUCUGUGUGCCUUUCCAAGCAACCAUCUACUCCCUGGAGGGUUGGGUUUUCGGGUCCUUCAUGUGCAAGGUGGUUCACUUCUUCAUCAACCUCACCAUGUAUGCUAGCAGUUUCACCCUGGCCACGGU